GACAUCACCAGUGAAGAGUGAGUAUGGGGCACCAGAAAGCCUCAGCCCCCGCUGCCUUGUGGGUGACCCCAUGGAGAGGAAAGGCUAGGGAAGCACACCCCAAAGUCAAAGCAGGAGCCCAGGCUCACAGUGAGUCCUGAGGCAGGGCUCAGGUCAAGAAGGGACCUGAGGAAGCUUCCAGACUCACUGUGAGCCCUGAGUUGCAUUUAGGGAGCCAGGUGUGAGGCUCCAGGGGGGUGGGGCCCUGAGCCUACAGGGAGCUAGUUGUGAAGCUCCUGGGGCAAGGGGAUAAAGGGACUGUGAGUCCAGUGUUGGGCCGGGGAUUGAGGCCCAGUGUUAAGCAGAGAAUGAGGCUUCAGUGGGCCUGGAAGGAGACCAAGAGGCUUCCAAGCCAGGCUGAGAGCCUGAGGGGAAAAAAAGAGGGGCUAGGAGCCCUGAUUGAGUAAGAGACCAGGCUGGGAGCCCAAGGAACAGGGAAGGGAUGGGAGCCCCAAUUGAUAGAGUGACCAUGUGUCAGACCAAGUUAUAGGCCAGGCAUUAGGCCAAGUAAGCUACAGGCUGGGUGUUAGGCCAUGGAUGCCAUCUGUGAGGCAUGGGACAUGGUAUAGGGAAGGUUAGAGCUGUGAAUAUAGGCCCUUGGCAUCUGGGCAAGUACAUGGGCAGCCUCCUGCCUUGUUAUUGUGUCUUAAUUACUAUCAUCAAAGGCAUGGCAGGUGAAGUAGGUGGGCAGUUUGCCAUGAAACAAGUAGGCGAGCCAAUGUUCAGACCCACUGGGACGCCCACUUUUUACAAUCUUGUAGAAACAACUGACUGUACUCUGGGGCUUGUGGACAUCUGUAUGCACUCAGAGACAUGCAUUAGCUACCCUGGGGUAUUAUUUAUGAUUAUUUAUUACUACAGGAGUGCCCAGAUGAGGGCUGCAGUGUCUAGGAUGUUCUACAACCACAGUAAGAGACUGUCCUUGCUCUGAAGAGUUUACAACUUAAUCUAAGACAUGGAUCAACAAGAGGAAUGGAGGAAGGAUGACAAGAAAGUGACAUGAGUCACAUAGGCUGAGUAUAACUGAACAGAAAGAACAACUGAUAGAUGGUAAAGAUGGUAUAACUGCUGAGGUAGAUUAAGAUAUAUUCCUAUCACUUAAAGAUGACCCUCACCGCAAAAUUCAGAAGAAUCAAAGAAUCAAGCUGGAAGGGACCCCUGUGAGGUCAUCUCUUCUACUCCCAGCUCAGCCCAGAGCCAUACCUGUCUAAUCAUCCCAGACAUGAUUUUCAACAUCCACAAAGUCAAGUGUUCAGUUCUGGGCGGGGGCUGUUGGAACAGCCCUAUACACAACAAGGGGCAGCAUCUAGGGAAUUUGGUUCCUGGUUCUGGGUUUGGAGAUCAGACCCUUCCCAAGGGUCAGAGGUGGCAGAGCCAACGUUUUUGAAUGGUAUCCAAAAGGCUGACUGGACCUUCACCCUCCUUUGCUGCCCUUCAGCAGAGUGCAUCUGCCACUCCCUCCACACAGUGCCAUCACGUCAAAGCAAGACUGCUUCAAAUAAACACUCAUUAGUGGCUGA